GACGAACGCUGGCGGCGUGCCUAACACAUGCAAGUCGAACGAAGAGCGACGGAGACUUGCUUCUAUCAAUCUUAGUGUCGAACGGGUGAGUAACGCGUAAUCAACCUGCCCUUCAGAGGGGGACAACAGUUGGAAACGACUGCUUAUACCGCAUACGAUCUAAUCUCGGCAUCGAGGAUGGAUGAAAGCCGGCCUCUACAUGUAAGCUCUCACUGAAGGAGGGGAUUGCGUCUGAUUAGCUAGUUGGAGGGGUAACGGCCCACCAAGGCGAUGAUCAGUAGCCGGUCUGGAGGGAUGAACUGCCACAUUGGGACUGGGACACCGCCCAGAAUCCUACGGGAGGCAGCCAUGGGGAAUCUUCCGCAAAGGAGGAAAGUCUGACGGGAGAACGCCGCGUGAGGGAUGGCGGCCUUCGGGUUGUAAAGCUCUGUUAAUCGGGAAGGAAGACCUUCAUGCGAAUAGUGAGGUGGAUUGACGGUACCGAAAUAGAAAGCAACGGCUAACUACGUG
rnacentral:rRNA from 1 species